AUGCUUCAGAUUUCAACGAAGCUUUGAUCAGCACCUCCCUCAUCAACUAGAAGACGGACAAGGAUUUUUGGUGGAGACAGAAAGC